UCCUGCUUUCAGAUUCUCAAUAUACUAGAAUAUACCUAAUCAGAGUCGAGGAUAACUGGCUCAUCAAAAAGAGUGAGAGGUGCUUUCCAUUUGAUUGUGCGUUAA